UAGGGAAUCUUCCGCAAUGGACGAAAGUCUGACGGAGCAACGCCGCGUGAGUGAAGAAGGAUUUCGGUUCGUAAAACUCUGUUGUUAGGGAAGAAAAAAUGUAUAGUAACUAUAUACAAAAGAGACGGUACCUAACCAGAAAGCCACGGCUAACUACGUGCCAGCAGCCGCGGUAAUACGUAGGUGGCAAGCGUUGUCCGGAAUUAUUGGGCGUAAAGCGCGCGCAGGUGGUUUAGAAAGUCUGAUGUGAAAGCCCACGGCUCAACCGUGAAGGGUCAUUGGAAACUAAUAAACUUGAGUGCAGGAGAGAAAAGUGGAAUUCCUGGUGUAGCGGUGAAAUGCGUAGAGAUUAGGAGGAACACCGGUGGCGAAAGCGGCUUUUUGGCCUGCAACUGACACUGAGGCGCGAAAGCGUGGGGAGCAAACAGG
rnacentral:rRNA from 1 species